rnacentral:rRNA from 1 species
CCUACGGGAGGCAGCAGUGGGGAAUAUUGCACAAUGGGGGAAACCCUGAUGCAGCGACGCCGCGUGAAGGAAGAAGGUUUUCGGAUCGUAAUCUUCUAUCAGCAGGGAAGAAGAAAGUGACAGUACCUGACUAAGAAGCCCCGGCUAACUACGUGCCAGCAGCCGCGGUAAUACGUAGGGGGCAAGCGGUAUCCGGAAUCACUGGGUGUAAAGGGUGCGUAGGCGGUAGGGCAAGUCAGAUGUGAAAGCACGGGGCACAACCGCGGGAUUGCAUUUGAAACUGUCUUACUAGAGUGCAGGAGAGGAAAGAGGAAUGCCUAGUGUUGCAGUGAAAUGAGUAGAUAUUAGGAAGAACACCAGUGGCGAAGGCGGCUUUCUGGACAGUAACUGACGCUGAGGCACGAAAGCGUGGUGAGCGAACAGGAUUAGAUACCCGUGUAGAC